CACGUAGGGUGCAAGCGUUGUCCGGAAUCAUUGGGCGUAAAGAGCUCGUAGGCGGCUUAGUAAGUCGGGUGUGAAAGUCAGAGGCUCAACCUUUGAAUGCCGCUGGAAACUGUCUGGCUUGAGUCCGGAAGGGGCGAGUGGAAUUCCUGGUGUAGCGGUGAAAUGCGCAGAUAUCAGGAGGAACACCAAUGGCGAAGGCAGCUCGCUGGAACGGUACUGACGCUGAGGCGCGAAAGCGUGGGGAGCGAACAGG
rnacentral:rRNA from 1 species